rnacentral:siRNA from 1 species
UGGACAUGUGCCUUAGUGGACA